AGUGAAGAACUCCAACUCCUCAUGGAACUAACCUAGAAAUAUAAGAAAUUAGAACCAGAACUCAAGAAAUCCAUGAGCCAAUCAAGUUUGAAAAAGGAGAAAUGAAAGCCCAAACUAGAGAAAGACAAAGGAAAAGAGAAGACAAUUGAAAAGGAUACUGCUUCUCGAAACAAGGGUAAGUCGAUUUUGUCUCUAUACUCUUUGAUGCGCUCCUAUGUAAUAGAUUGGAAAUUUUUUUGGAAAAAUAGAGUUUCAGUUUAGGGAGUGGUUUGAAUUUCAAGGGUGGAUGGAUUUUCAUUGAAUAAGCCCUGUUAUGAAAAUG
rnacentral:lncRNA from 1 species